GAGUAGCUGGGAGUACAGAUGCACACCACCACACCCAGCCUAGAAUGAAGAAACCUGCAGUUGGGAAGCAUGAAUUUACCACCUAUUAAGACUAAGGUACAGAGAGGUCAAGUAACUUGCCCAAAGUCACACAACUAUCAAGGAGCAGAGCUGAGGUUUGAUGUCACAGAGGGGUCAAGAUACAGUCAUAUUUAUUAAACAGCCUACUUCAUGCUUUGAACAGAAGAGUUUUAUCAGUUUUAAAUGUUUCUUCAUUUCUAUACCUUCUUUUAUCUGAGGAGCUUAAGCCAUUUUGUAGAGGCAUUAAGUAUUGCCUCAGUCUUAAUAUGUGAGACAAGGUGUGAGGAAUAUAGAGAUUCAUAAAAUAAUCCCCAUCUUCAAGGAACUCACAGUCAGGAAGAACAGAGCCUGCAACACAAAUAAUUGCAAUAUAGUAGAAGUGCCAAUAGGAGCUCUAUGAAGGGCGUGAAACAGGAAAGGCUACAUAGAGGAGAUGGCAGACACUCUGUGGAUUGUGACCUGUUGGUGGGCCAUGAAAUCAAUUUGGGGGUUUGAGAGCAUCAUUCUUUUAAUAAAACAGAAGAGAAUCAUCUGCAAUAAGGAACCCAUGGAUGAAUACCAUCUGGUCCUGGUGAUUUACUGCACAGAGUCCCUCAAGUUGCUCCAUACCUUUCUCCUGAGAGACUGAAGAAUCUCUGUCAAGGCCGUUCUCUGCUUUGCCAUAAAAUGUGUCCUUGGAACAAGAAUUUCCCCAUUGUCUUCUUCAAUAAAUACUGAUUCAAAGU
ensembl:lncRNA LINC00466 long intergenic non-protein coding RNA 466